rnacentral:rRNA from 1 species
GAGUAACGCGUGAGUCAACCUGACUUUCAGAGGGGGAUAACGUCUUGAAAAGGACGCUAAUACCGCAUGAUAUUAUGGAGUCACAUGGCUCUAUAAUCAAAGGAGCAAUCCGCUGAAAGAUGGGCUCGCGUCCGAUUAGGUAGUUGGCGGGAUAACAGCCCACCAAGCCGACGAUCGGUAGCCGGACUGAGAGGUUGAACGGCCACAUUGGGACUGAGACACGGCCCAGACUCCUACGGGAGGCAGCAGUGAGGGAUAUUGGUCAAUGGGGGAAACCCUGAACCAGCAACGCCGCGUGAGGGAUGACGGCCUUCGGGUUGUAAACCUCUGUCCUCUGUGAAGAUAAUGACGGUAGCAGAGGAGGAAGCUCCGGCUAACUACGUGCCAGCAGCCGCGGUAAUACGUAGGGAGCAAGCGUUGUCCGGAUUUACUGGGUGUAAAGGGUGCGUANGCG